rnacentral:rRNA from 1 species
GGAGGGGGCUAGCGUUGUUCGGAAUUACUGAGCGUAAAGCGCGCGUAGGCGGGCUGGUUAGUUGGGGGUGAAAUCCCGAGGCUCAACCUCGGAACUGCCCUCAAUACUGCCUGUCUUGAGUUCGAGAGAGGUGAGUGGAAUUCCUAGUGUAGAGGUGAAAUUCGUAGAUAUUAGGAAGAACACCAGUGGCGAAGGCGGCUCACUGGCUCGAUACUGACGCUGAGGCGCGAAAGCGUGGGGAGCAAACAGGAUUAGAUACCCUGGUAGUCCACGCCGUAAACGAUGGGUGCUAGUUGUCAGGCAGCUUGCUGUUUGGUGACGCAGCUAACGCGUUAAGCACGCCGCCUGGGGACUACGGUCGCAAGCUA